rnacentral:rRNA from 1 species
CAGUCCCGCGGUAAUACGGAGGGAGCUAGCGUUGUUCGGAAUUACUGGGCGUAAAGCGCGCGUAGGCUGACAUUUAAGUCAGGGGUGAAAUCCCGGGGCUCAACCUCGGAACUGCCUUUGAUACUGGGUGUCUUGAGUGUGGAAGAGGUAAGUGGAAUUGCGAGUGUAGAGGUGAAAUUCGUAGAUAUUCGCAGGAACACCAGUGGCGAAGGCGGCUUACUGGUCCACAACUGACGCUGAGGUGCGAAAGCGUGGGGAGCAAACAGGAUUAGAUACCCCCGUAGUCCCUGUCUCUUAUACA